rfam:Lachnospiraceae bacterium 5_1_57FAA genomic scaffold supercont1.9, whole genome shotgun sequence.
UCUGGCGGCGAUACGCCCAGGGGCAACACCCGUUCCCAUCCCGAACACGAUGGUUAAGCCCUGGGAGGCCGAUGGUACUUUACUGGAGACGGUACGGGAGAGCAGGUGGCUGCCAGAA